rnacentral:rRNA from 1 species
GACGAACGCUGGCGGCGUGCCUAAUACAUGCAAGUAGAACGCUGAAGAGAGGAGCUUGCUCUUCUUGGAUGAGUUGCGAACGGGUGAGUAACGCGUAGGUAACCUGCCUUGUAGCGGGGGAUAACUAUUGGAAACGAUAGCUAAUACCGCAUAACAAUGGCUGACACAUGUCAUUUAUUUGAAAGGGGCAAUUGCUCCACUACAAGAUGGACCUGCGUUGUAUUAGCUAGUAGGUGAGGUAAUGGCUCACCUAGGCGACGAUACAUAGCCGACCUGAGAGGGUGAUCGGCCACACUGGGACUGAGACACGGCCCAGACUCCUACGGGAGGCAGCAGUAGGGAAUCUUCGGCAAUGGGGGCAACCCUGACCGAGCAACGCCGCGUGAGUGAAGAAGGUUUUCGGAUCGUAAAGCUCUGUUGUAAGUCAAGAACGGGUGUGAGAGUGGAAAGUUCACACUGUGACGGUAGCUUAACAGAAAGGGACGGCUAACUACGUG